AGAGUUUGAUCCUGGCUCAGGACGAACGCUGGCGGCGCGCCUAACACAUGCAAGUCGAACGAGCGAGAGAGAGCUUGCUUUCUCAAGCGAGUGGCGAACGGGUGAGUAACGCGUGAGGAACCUGCCUCAAAGAGGGGGACAACAGUUGGAAACGACUGCUAAUACCGCAUAAGCCCACGGCUCGGCAUCGAGCAGAGGGAAAAGGAGCAAUCCGCUUUGAGAUGGCCUCGCGUCCGAUUAGCUAGUUGGUGAGGUAACGGCCCACCAAGGCAACGAUCGGUAGCCGGACUGAGAGGUUGAACGGCCACAUUGGGACUGAGACACGGCCCAGACUCCUACGGGAGGCAGCAGUGGGGAAUAUUGCACAAUGGGGGAAACCCUGAUGCAGCGACGCCGCGUGGAGGAAGAAGGUCUUCGGAUUGUAAACUCCUGUUGUUGAGGAAGAUAAUGACGGUACUCAACAAGGAAGUGACGGCUAACUACGUGCCAGCAGCCGCGGUAAAACGUAGGUCACAAGCGUUGUCCGGAAUUACUGGGUGUAAAGGGAGCGCAGGCGGGAAGACAAGUUGGAAGUGAAAUCCAUGGGCUCAACCCAUGAACUGCUUUCAAAACUGUUUUUCUUGAGUAGUGCAGAGGUAGGCGGAAUUCCCGGUGUAGCGGUGGAAUGCGUAGAUAUCGGGAGGAACACCAGUGGCGAAGGCGGCCUACUGGGCACCAACUGACGCUGAGGCUCGAAAGUGUGGGUAGCAAACAGGAUUAGAUACCCUGGUAGUCCACACCGUAAACGAUGAUUACUAGGUGUUGGAGGAUUGACCCCUUCAGUGCCGCAGUUAACACAAUAAGUAAUCCACCUGGGGAGUACGACCGCAAGGUUGAAACUCAAAGGAAUUGACGGGGGCCCGCACAAGCAGUGGAGUAUGUGGUUUAAUUCGACGCAACGCGAAGAACCUUACCAAGUCUUGACAUCCCUUGACGAACAUAGAAAUAUGUUUUCUCUUCGGAGCAAGGAGACAGGUGGUGCAUGGUUGUCGUCAGCUCGUGUCGUGAGAUGUUGGGUUAAGUCCCGCAACGAGCGCAACCC
rnacentral:rRNA from 1 species